UACGUAGGGACCAAGCGUUGUUCGGAUUUACUGGGCGUAAAGGGCGCGUAGGCGGCGCGGUAAGUCAGUUGUGAAAUCUCUGAGCUUAACUCAGGACGGCCAAGUGAUACUGCAGUGCUUGAGUGUGGAAGGGGCAAGCGGAAUUCUUGGUGUAGCGGCGAAAUGCGUAGAUAUCAAGAGGAACACCUGAGGUGAAGACGGGUUGCUGGGACAACACUGACGCUGAUGCGCGAAAGCUAGGGGAGCAAACGGG
rnacentral:rRNA from 1 species